rnacentral:rRNA from 1 species
CACGUAGGGCGCAAGCGUUUGUCCGGAAUUAUUGGGCGUAAAGAGCGUGUAGGCGGCUCGGUAAGUCCGCUCUGAAAGCCCGGGGCUCAACCCCGGGAGGCGGGCGGAUACUGUCGAGCUAGAGUCCGGAAGAGGCGAGUGGAAUUCCUGGUGUAGCGGUGAAAUGCGCAGAUAUCAGGAGGAACACCAAUGGCGAAGGCAGCUCGCUGGGACGGUACUGACGCUGAGACGCGAAAGCAUGGGGAGCGAACAGG